UUAAAAAGCUCGUAGUUGAAUUUCGAGACCGGCUUACUGGUCGUGCUAUUGUGCGUACUGGUAUAAUCGGUUUCUCCUUUCUGACGAACUAUAAUGCCAUUAAUUUGGUGUUAUAGGGAAUCAGGACUGUUACUUUGAAAAAAUUAGAGUGUUUAAAGCAGGCUCACGCUUGAAUACAUUAGCAUGGAAUAACGGAAUAGGACGUUAGAUUCUAUUUUGUUGGUUUCUAGGAUCGACGUAAUGAUUAAUAGGGAUAGUUGGGGG
rnacentral:rRNA from 1 species